rnacentral:rRNA from 1 species
GGAGUUUGGGCCGUGUCUCAGUCCCAAUGUGGCCGUUCUACCUCUCAGUACGGCUACUGAUCGUCGCCAUGGUGGGCCGUUACCUCACCAUCUAGCUAAUCAGACGCGGGCCCAUCCUGUACCUAUAAAUAUUUGAUCGCAAGGUCAUGCGCCCUCGCGAUGUUAUGCGGUGUUAGCAGUCGUUUCCAACUGUUAUCCCCCUGUACAGGGCAGGUUACCCACGCGUUACUCACCCGUCCGCCACUAAGUUUUGAAAAGAUUGAUUAAUAGCAAGCUACCUCUCGCUCACAUCAAAACUCCGUUCGACUUGCAUGUGUUAAGCACGCCGCCAGCGUUCAUC